CUGUGGACCGGCUCCUAAUCCUCUUGUUUUCGGUACAGUCAGCAGAUGUGGCUUCUUUUAGCUGAAUAAUCCGUUAAAGGAAUAACAAUUUUUAAAAAGGGGAUCGACCUCACCCAAAGAGGACGGCGAGCGAGAUUAGGGCUUGUAGAUCUACUGCCUUUCGUUGGAACGCUGCGGACUGAGACCAGUCCCUCAAGAAGAACAAAAAGACGAAGACCUGAGUGGACCUCCCCCCCGCCCCCCGACCCGGACAAAGCACUUUGGGCUCGGCGAGAAGGGACGCGCAGGAGCGCUGGUUCGGGAAUACGAGUGAUCUUCUGUCCGCCGGGCGUGCGGACCUCCGAGGGGACUCGAAUUUUAUUUAGCCUCUUGGGAUCCAGCGCAUUAGACAAGAGUGACCUUUUAAAUCUGUGUCCACCCUUCACCUGCGAGAGGACUGCAGCAACCGAGUUCUGGAAGGCUGAUUCCCCAGAUUCUGGCCCCGGACCCCGGCAGCUCGCCCCUGCGGCACGCCCGGCCGGAUUGCGCCUGGACUCAGCAAGCUAGGAAAAAGCCUGGAUUCGAAAGGAUGGGGGAGAACAAAGAGCCUUUGCAAGACGUCGCUGUUAUCUCAUUGUCUGUGUGACUGGGGGAGCUGCGGUAGAGAGGAUGCUGUGGUCCUUUCCUCCCGGCGCUCCCCCACCCCCACGCCUUUCCCCGCUGUCAGUGCGCACGCACGCGCGCCGCUUUUUACUUGUUUUUCCCGUUUUCUCAUUCCAUCUUCUCCCCAACCGCCCCCCUGCUUUCUUCCACCUUUCCUUCCUUCCUCCUCUCCUUCCUCAGGAGAAAGGCCUCUCUCUCCGUGUUCACAGCGGACCUUGAUUUAAAUGUCCAUACAAUUAAGGCACGCGGUGAAUGCCAAGAAUGGGGCUGGCUGAGCACCCGUCGGUCCGCGAGGGCCCUGCGAGGAAGGAGCCACAGAGCCCAGUCGUCCUCCGCAGAGCUCCGCGCCGCGGCUUCGGGAGCGGGUGGGGGUGGAUGGGGGGCGGGGGUCGCGGGCUCGCGCCGGCUGGGCUGCCCCAGCCGAAGCCUUUGGGGUGGGGAGGUGUGUAGCUUGUGACAGACAGGGGCUUAGAGAUGCAAACAAACUCAGAGAAACAGAAGCUGAUUCUGUGACGGAAACACAGAUCUGUGCAAGCACAGAUGGGGGCGGGAGGAGGCUGUGAGCGCAUUGCGGAGUGCUUCCGUGUGCAGAUUUUUCUCUGGGCUCCGGGUGCAUUGUAUGCGGGUCGAUACCUUCCUUCGUGGCUGCGUUUUUGCUCUGGUUUUAGCUUUUGGUUUACCCUUUAAACAAAUAACCGGGCAUCCAGAAGACUGGCAGAUUGUGCCAGGGCUGGGGCUGCAGAUAUAUUGGGUUCUGCUUGUGCUUGGGGUGGGGGUACGGGACCCCGCUGGGAGGGAGUAGGGAAGGGAUUUGUCCCCCUUUGCUGUGGAGCUGUAGUUACAGGCUUAAGGAAGUCAUUGAGAUACAGAGGGGGAAAGCAUCAAACUCCUGGACCAUUCUCAAGCUCUGUCAGAGCCGAAAGUCUGGCUAGGACUCUGGGGAGCCACUCACUUCCUCUUUGCGGCUGUGAUUGCAGUUGUAGGCAGAGAUCUGGGAGAUGAUGAGGGGGAGAGGCGCAGGAACCUACCUAGACCCAAGGAGGGAGGGUUCAUGCCUUUUAAACAUCUGAACAGAAGGAAAACCAGAAUGUGUACAGGAGGGGGUCUGAGGAAAGAUUAUUUUUGAAAGAGACCAUUCAGGGAAUGCAAAGGGUUAACCUGCCCUCCUCCUGAAGAACCUGCUACCCAAAUCAGCCUGUCUCUACAUCACCAGACCUAGAGCAGCAGUUGGUCCUACGGAUCCCCCUGCUCUCCACAGGCACAGCCCCAUCCCACCUCCAUCUCUGUAUUAACCGCCUCCACCCCCACCUUGAGCUUCAGUGGAUGGUGGAGACCUAAACUCAUUAAUUUCCAGGUGGAGAAAAUGGAGGCGGGGCAGGUCCCUGCAGGGAAAGGAGGCCAAGAACUGGAUCUUCCCACCCACGAAGGCUGCUCUGAUCAUCCCUUUCUUUCCCCUGCCCUGGGCAGAGGCCUGUCUCUACAAGGCCAAGGCCAUAGGGAUGCUGAGGAUUGUAUUUGAUUCCUGACACAGUAAGCAAAACCUAAAAGAGUGUCUCUACUGAAACUUGCUGAGGAGCUCUUUCAUCUCCAAAGCCUCACCCUCUCCCAUUCAGUCAAUUAGUAUUCAUGGACCCCCAGCCUUAUUUCCUCCUGAAUAUUUUUUUAGUACCUACUAUGUGCCAAUCAUUGUGUAAUUGUUGUAUCUUAGAUUCUUCCUUUGCCCUCCUAAGGGAGUGUCUGGAGUCAGGUGAGAUUAAGUUCACUGCACCCCAUCUAGACACUUCCAGAACCUUCUCUGGGUCUGACAGAAAUGCACCAAAACCUGCUCCCCCCUGCAGAGAGAAGACUGCAGUCCACAUCAUGUAAACUGCAAGCACAGUGCUGUCCUUCAGAUCCCAGAAGGCCAGCCUGGCUGGUGGACAGAAGAGAAAGCAGCUUCUCUAGCCCCUGAGCCUUAGCCAGUGUUGUCUUAAGAGGCACCCGCAGCCACCGCCUUCAAAAUAAUCCUCCCUCUAAACAGUCCCUCUUUGGCCCUCCUCUCCUUCCUCUGAGGGCUGUUCUGACAGUUCUUUGAGGCUGAUCUAAGCCUCUGAUGACCAACCCUCGACCCCACAGUUGUUCACAUAAAUGAGCUUUAUCUCCCUAAUUGCUUCCCUGUAAUUCCAUCAGAUGUGGCCGUGCCCUCUGCUGAUGUGCCUGCUGCCAGCAUCUCCAGACGCCUUUCCCAAGUAAUGUCCCUCUAAGGUGGAAACCUAACACGCUUCUCCCUGAGAGUUUAAACCGCAGGCACCAUGGACCAGGCCUUCCGGCUUCCUGCUGCCGAUCAUUAGGAGGGAGGGGCAUGCUUUAUUUUAUUACUUAUGUAAACUCUUGUUCCAGAAAGCUCUUAUGUGUGGGGGAGUGUUCUGGGUUUGUUGGGGCUUUUCCGGCAUUCACCAGGUCUCAUUAUGAAAUGUGUUUGGGGCUUUAAUGUGUAAAGGGGCUUUAAUGGCUGAAAUGGCAGCGAUGAAUACACCACUCUGCCCCCUGGGUAAUUUCAAGGCCCCUUUUGUGUGCACCAGAUAGAGGUGUGGGGUAAAGGUCAGUCCUGGCAUCUUCCUUUCGGCUCUGUUAGAGGCUUGCUUAUGCCUGGCGAUACCUAGGUAAGAAACCUAACUAUUUCUGCUCCUUCAAGGCAUUUUUUUUUUUAAAGACUUUAUUGAAUUUGUUACAAUACUGCUUUUGUUUUGUUUUGGUUUUUAUGGCUGGGAGGCAUGUGGGAUCUUGGCUCCCCACCAGGGAUGGAACCUAUACCCCCUGUAUUGGAAAGAGAAGUCUUCUUUUAACUCUCCACAUCAUCUUCACCCCUACCUAUUUGAAGCCCCUCUCAUUACGACCUAUGGCUUAAAUGAAAGAAAAACUAUUAUUUUUUUAAAAUGUGGGACAUGUUUGAGGCAGUUUGCCAACUGAAUAUGAUCUGAAGACCCAUGCCAUCGUUCACACACACACCACCAUCAUUAUGGUCCUCAUCGUGAUGGCAGCUCAAAGGUUUCUCAAGGAGUCAGCAUCACAUACUUUAAGAUGGAUUUAGAAAUGUAUCAAAGGAAAAAUUGGUAACAUUCUUCUUUCCCCUGCCAGAGACCCUCCAGGCUCAGAACUCUAAGCAGAAAAGCAACUGAACUUUUAACAAAGGCAAAGGUAAAUUCCAACUAUCAUCACUACAUUCCUGUUGCCCGCAAGGUGGGGAGAAGGGACAGUUUUUGUGGGCUCUUAAGGAGCCUUAGCCAGAGAAAUAAAUAUUUGGGAGUAGGGGUAAUUUCUCAGCAGGCAUAUGCUCAUAUACACAUAUAGAGAUUUUUCUCACACAGUCAUAUCCAUUGCUAGUAUUUAUAGUGACUCCAUUGUGAGUCACACAAACACACACACACGCAAUCCAUCCACCUAUCCUAUCUCUGCAGAGAAAUAAUUUUCUCUUUCCUUCUACUGAACUUACAUAAUAUCCCCACCCCUUGUUCCAGCCUUAGAAGAGAGUCCUCGGGGGCAGCUGUAAAGCCUUCUUCCUAGGACAGAUGGAGCCACCCUUCCUCAGCUACUCUGUGGGUGGGUUUAGUGAGUCAGUAGGGGCUGAGGGAUGUGCUGGUGGCUUGUGUUUGUGGCUUGCCUGGGUGAUUCACGGUGCUGAGUGUGUCAACAAUUAUGACAAUUUUAAUACCUAAUAAAGAUGUUUUCUUCCAA